CCUUACCCACCUUUGACAUGGCAGGAACUUACCAGAGAUGGUUUGGUGCUCGAAAGAGAACCUGCACACAGGUGCUGCAUGGCUGUCGCCAGCUCGUGUCGUGAGAUGUUGGGUUAAGUCCCGCAACGAGCGCAACCCUUGCCAUCAGUUGCUACGAAAGGGCACUCUGAUGGGACUGCCGGUGACAAGCCGGAGGAAGGUGGGGAUGACGUCAAGUCCUCAUGGCCCUUAUAGGUGGGGCUACACACGUCAUACAAUGGCCGGUACAAAGGGCAGCCAACCCGCGAGGGGGAGCCAAUCCCGUAAAGCCGGUCGUAGUCCGGAUCGCAGUCUGCAACUCGACUGCGUGAAGUCGGAAUCGCUAGUAAUCGCUGAUCAGCAGGCAGCGGUGAAUGCGUUCCCGGGCCUUGUACACACCGCCCGUCACACCAUGGGAGUUGAUUGCUCCAGAAGUGGCUGCGCAAACCCGCAAGGGAAGCAGGUCCCCAAGGAGUGGUCGAUGACUGGGGUGAAGUCGUAACAAGGUAGCCGUAGGGGAACCUGCGGCUGGAUCAC
rnacentral:rRNA from 1 species